UUAUUCCUACUCGCGGUUGCUGUUAAAGAAAAAGAGCAUCUAAAAAUCUCGUGCAUAGCUUUAUCAAGACACUCUUACAACCCGUCUGAUAUGCCAGACGAAGAACUUCGGGCAUUUCGCAUAUUUACAGUUAUGUGCCGAACUUAACGCCGAGCCUCAAAAGUCAAAACGGUGAUGGAUUACUAAAACACCUAAAGGUUCUAACAGGUGUAAUAACACCUGCUAGCUGAUGGCAACUAGUCCAUUGGUCAGACUACUGUGAGCCAGUAGCUAUUGAAGCAAUUUGUAAUAGCUGUAAAUAGAAGAAAACUUCUCUUGGAUCAAGGGAGAAAUUAAGGAAGGCGCUCCUCAAGGACUUCCUAAGCAUCAUGCACAAAACCGGCUGUUACUAAGAGUGUGCGCUUGCGAGUUGCUAGCGAGCUUAAUAAAUACAUACUUAUGG